rnacentral:misc_RNA from 1 species
UUAAACUGAGAUUGUAAUUACCGUAGAAGAAAAAUAGCCUCCAACAUUUGAGUCGUAUAUAUUGCUGAGACACAAAGUAUCUGAUUCUCUGCCUACUGCUUAUCCAUUAGGGCACCGUCCAUAUAGGUGGAGCCAAGUGAAACACAGAAGGGAGCCCACCUACACGAACCACCACAUAUGGUGCGGUCGUAUCAUGGCUGCAAAUAUCAAGAGCCUUGUUUUCUUGUUGGCCAUCACCUUCCUUGGUAGCUUUCCAACAGUGAGAUUGUCAUCAAAGUUCUCCAAGGAGAGAUGUUAUUCCUUUGCGCAUCCAAGUAAUCAUAUCAGAUAUCAAAGCCUUAAUUUGCAACCUCCUUCGAGUCUAUCUCCUUUUCCUUUAUUAGGAGACGUUGUAAUUCCGCUGCUCAUGCUAUAGCUUGCCGAGCGCUCCAAAGCUCUUCUUUCAUUAGCAAUCUGCCGGAGC